rnacentral:rRNA from 1 species
UGAGUAACCUGCCCUUAACUCUGGGAUAAGCCUGGGAAACUGGGUCUAAUACCGGAUAUGACUCCUCAUCGCAUGGUGGGGGGUGGAAAGCUUUAUUGUGGUUUUGGAUGGACUCGCGGCCUAUCAGCUUGUUGGUGAGGUAAUGGCUCACCAAGGCGACGACGGGUAGCCGGCCUGAGAGGGUGACCGGCCACACUGGGACUGAGAUACCGGCCCAGACCUCCGUACGGGAGCAG